rnacentral:rRNA from 1 species
AACGAACGCUGGCGGCAGGCCUAACACAUGCAAGUCGAGCGCCCCGCAAGGGAGCGGCAGACGGGUGAGUAACGCGUGGGAAUCUACCUAAUGGUACGGAAUAGCCCAGGGAAACUUGGAGUAAUACCGUAUACGCCCGCAAGGGGAAAGAUUUAUCGCCAUUAGAUGAGCCCGCGUUGGAUUAGCUAGUUGGUGGGGUAACGGCCCACCAAGGCGACGAUCCAUAGCUGGUCUGAGAGGAUGAUCAGCCACACUGGGACUGAGACACGGCCCAGACUCCUACGGGAGGCAGCAGUGGGGAAUAUUGGACAAUGGGCGCAAGCCUGAUCCAGCCAUGCCGCGUGAGUGACGAAGGUCUUCGGAUUGUAAAGCUCUUUUGGUCGGGGACGGAUAAUGACGGUACCCGCAGAAUAAGCCCCGGCUAACUUCGUG